AUUGAACGCUGGCGGCGUGGCUAAAGCAUGCAAGUCGAGCGAACCCGCAAGGGUGAGCGGCGGACGGGUUAGUAAUACGAUCGAACGUGCCCCGAGGCGGGGGAUAGGCAUGGGAAACUGUGCGUAAUACCCCAUAAUCUCUCCGGAGCAAAGGUUUACCACCUUGGGAUCGGCGAUCGUCCUAUCAGCUAGUUGGCGGGGUAACGGCCCACCAAGGCGAUGACGGGUAGCAGGUGUGAGAGCACGACCUGCAACAUCGGGACUGAGACACUGCCCGGACUCCUACGGGAGGCUGCAGCGACGAAUCUUCCGCAAUGGGCGCAAGCCUGACGGAGCGACGCCGCGUGUGGGAUGAAGCGUCUACGACGUGUAAACCACUGUCAGGGGGCAGAACCAAUGAUCGCCCCCAAAGGAAGAGACGGCUAACCCUGUG
rnacentral:rRNA from 1 species